UACGUAGGUGGCAAGCGUUGUCCGGAUUUACUGGGCGUAAAGAGCGCGCAGGCGGUCGUAUAAGUCGAAUGUGAAAGCCCCCGGCUCAACUGGGGAGGGUCAUUCGAUACUGUUCGACUUGAAGGCAGGAGAGGGAAGUGGAAUUCCGGGUGUAGUGGUGAAAUGCGUAGAUAUGCGGAGGAACACCGAUGGCGAAGGCAAUCCCCUGGACCUGUACUGACGCUCAUGCACGAAAGCGUGGGGAGCAAACAGG
rnacentral:rRNA from 1 species